rnacentral:rRNA from 1 species
GAGGAAGGUGGGGAGGACGUCAAAUCAUCAUGCCCCUUAUGACCUGGGCUACACACGUGCUACAAUGGACAGAACAAAGGGCAGCGAAACCGCGAGGUUAAGCCAAUCCCACAAAUCUGUUCUCAGUUCGGAUCAGUCUGCAACUCGACUGCGUGAAGCUGGAAUCGCUAGUAAUCGCGGAUCAGCAUGCCGCGGUGAACGUUCCCGGGCCUUGUACACACCGCCCGUCACACCACGAGAGUUUGUCACC